rnacentral:rRNA from 1 species
CUAUUACAAUGAAGAGUUUGAUCCUGGCUCAGGAUGAACGCUAGCGACAGGCUUAACACAUGCAAGUCGAGGGGCAGCAUAAGGUAGCAAUACCUUGAUGGCGACCGGCGCACGGGUGAGUA